GUCCCGUUCGAGUGCUCCGGUAUCCCUGAUCGACAACCCGUGUGUACCGACGUUCGUCUGUUCUCCGACCAACCUUAGGGCAGAGAGGGAAGAGGCCACUCAUACCCUGCGAGAUGAGCCAGACCUGUCUUCAGUCCCCUCCUGUUACCAUGAAUUGAAGGAAGUCUUUUCCAAGUGUCCAGAACAGGAGCCGAUGGCUGCAGGACUCAUCCGGCCGGGGCAGCCUUCUUUUCUUUGAAAAGAAGGACCAGACCCUCCAGCCCUCCAUCGAUUACCAAGGACUGAACGACAUUACGAU